rnacentral:rRNA from 1 species
CACGUAGGGCGCAAGCGUUGUCCGGAAUUAUUGGGCGUAAAGAGCUCGUAGGUGGUCUGUUGCGUCCGCUGUGAAAACUCGGGGCUUAACCCCGAGCCUGCAGUGGAUACGGGCAGACUAGAGGUAGGUAGGGGAGAAUGGAAUUCCUGGUGUAGCGGUGAAAUGCGCAGAUAUCAGGAGGAACACCGGUGGCGAAGGCGGUUCUCUGGGCCUUACCUGACGCUGAGGAGCGAAAGCGUGGGGAGCGAACAGG